rnacentral:rRNA from 1 species
CAAUAGCGUAUAUUAAAGUUGUUGCAGUUAAAAAGCUCGUAGUUGGAUUUCGGGGUGGCCUGGCUGGUCCGCCGCAAGGUGAGUACUGGUCAGCCGCCCUUCCUCUCGAAAGCCCCGACUGCUCUUUACUGCAGUGGUCGGGUAGUUCGGGACGUUUACUUUGAAAAAAUUAGAGUGUUCAAGGCAGGCUAUCGCCUGAAUACAUUAGCAUGGAAUAAUGGAAGAGGACCUCGGUCCUAUUUUGUUGGUUUCUAGGGCCGAAGUAAUGAUUAAGAGGGACAGUUGGGGGCAUUCGUAUUUAAUUGUCAGAGGUGAAAUUCUUGGAUUUAUGAAAGACGAACUAGUGCGAAAGCAUUUGCCAAGGAUGUUUUCAUUAA